AUUGAACGCUGGCGGCAGGCCUAACACAUGCAAGUCGAGCGGAUGAAGGGAGCUUGCUCCUGGAUUCAGCGGCGGACGGGUGAGUAAUGCCUAGGAAUCUGCCUGGUAGUGGGGGAUAACGUCCGGAAACGGGCGCUAAUACCGCAUACGUCCUGAGGGAGAAAGUGGGGGAUCUUCGGACCUCACGCUAUCAGAUGAGCCUAGGUCGGAUUAGCUAGUUGGUGGGGUAAAGGCCUACCAAGGCGACGAUGCGUAACUGGUCUGAGAGGAUGAUCAGUCACACUGGAACUGAGACACGGUCCAGACUCCUACGGGAGGCAGCAGUGGGGAAUCUUGGACAAUGGGCGAAAGCCUGAUCCAGCCAUGCCGCGUGUGUGAAGAAGGUCUUCGGAUUGUAAAGCACUUUAAGUUGGGAGGAAGGGCAGUAAGUUAAUACCUUGCUGUUUUGACGUUACCAACAGAAUAAGCACCGGCUAACUUCGUG
rnacentral:rRNA from 1 species